rnacentral:rRNA from 1 species
UUGGGAAUCUUCGGCAAUGGGGGCAACCCUGACCGAGCAACGCCGCGUGAGUGAAGAAGGUUUUCGGAUCGUAAAGCUCUGUUGUAAGAGAAGAACGUGUGUGAGAGUGGAAAGUUCACACAGUGACGGUAACUUACCAGAAAGGGACGGCUAACUACGUUCCAGCAGCCGCGGUAAUACGUAGGUCCCGAGCGUUGUCCGGAUUUCUUGGGCGUAAAGCGAGCGCAGGCGGUUUAAUAAGUCUGAAGUUAAAGGCAGUGGCUUAACCAUUGUUCGCUUUGGAAACUGGUAAACUUGAGUGCAGAAGGGGAGAGUGGAAUUCCAUGUGUAGCGGUGAAAUGCGUAGAUAUAUGGAGGAACACCGGUGGCGAAAGCGGCUCUCUGGUCUGUAACUGACGCUGAGGCUCGAAAGCGUGGGGAGCAAACAGG